CCCUUAGAUGUCCUGGGCCGCACGCGCGCUACACUGACAUGUUCAACAAGCCUCCUAGUUCGACAGGAUUUGGGAAAUCUUUGAACGCAUGUCGUGAUAGGGAUAGAUCAUUGCAAUUAUUGAUCUUGAACGAGGAAUUCCUAGUAAACGCGAGUCAUCAGCUCGCAUUGAUUACGUCCCUGCCCUUUGUACACACCGCCCGUCGCACCUACCGAUUGAAUGUUUCGGUGAAGAUUCCGGAUAGGACUCUUUUGAUUUAUUUCAAUUUUGUCUUAAAAGCUAUCUAAACCUCAACAUUUAGAGGAAGGUGAAGUCGUAACA
rnacentral:rRNA from 1 species